CAAUAGCGUAUAUUAAAGUUGUUGCAGUUAAAAAGCUCGUAGUUGAAUUUCUGGUGGGCGCGCCGGUCUUCCAAGUGUUGUACUGGGCGCAGUCCGCCAUCCUUGUGGAGAGGGCUCGCAUUGAGUUGCGUGUCGGAUCUGCAUCAUUUACUGUGAAAAAAUUAGAGUGUUUAAAGCAGGCUGUCGCUUGAAUACAUUAGCAUGGAAUAAUAAGAUAGGACUUCGGUCUAUUUUGUUGGUUGCGAACCGAGGUAAUGAUUAAUAGGGAUAGUUGGGGGUAUUCAUAUUUAAUUGUCAGAGGUGAAAUUCUUGGAUUUAUGAAAGAUGAACAACUGCGAAAGCGUUUACCAAGGAUGUUUUCAUUAA
rnacentral:rRNA from 1 species